AAAAUUGGGAAUCCGGGUACACAAAGCCUUUGUCAGCCACCCCUCUUCCUCAGCUGACAAGGUGCUAUGGAUAACAAGUCCACUGCCAGCAUCUGGCUGGACCACAGGAGGGAUGUGCGAGACAGAGCGCAGGGAGGGUGUAAUGGGGAUCUGCGAUGCUGGGAAAAGGCUUUCCUAAAAGCACAGACGCAUGCUCAGUUCCACCUCUUCCCUCCAAGUAAGUUGCCUCCCAUAUAAGGGCAGAAGGAGGCGGACGUCUGGAUAUCCAACCCCACCGGGGGUGUGGCAGAGCAGGCAAAGGAAAACAACAUUUCUUUUUCUUGAAACGAGGCUGCCAGGAGGCACACUCAGGCUCGGGAGAGUCAAAGGCCAGCAGAGAUGCUGGAAGCCAAGAGAUCUCAUUAUACAACAGAACAGCCUUUGAUUCUGUGCUGAGCCAAAGAUAGUCCCAGCCACCAGCAAAAAAGCAAAGGUCUGGAGUCUCAUUAAAAGCACACCUACUGCUUCA